rnacentral:rRNA from 1 species
ACUCCUACGGGAGGCAGCAGUGGGGAAUUUUGGACAAUGGGCGAAAGCCUGAUCCAGCAAUGCCGCGUGAGUGAAGAAGGCCUUCGGGUUGUAAAGCUCUUUUGUCAGGGAAGAAACGGUGAGAGCUAAUAUCUCUUGCUAAUGACGGUACCUGAAGAAUAAGCACCGGCUAACUACGUGCCAGCAGCCGCGGUAAUACGUAGGGUGCAAGCGUUAAUCGGAAUUACUGGGCGUAAAGCGUGCGCAGGCGGUUUUGUAAGUCUGAUGUGAAAUCCCCGGGCUCAACCUGGGAAUUGCAUUGGAGACUGCAAGGCUAGAAUCUGGCAGAGGGGGGUAGAAUUCCACGUGUAGCAGUGAAAUGCGUAGAUAUGUGGAGGAACACCGAUGGCGAAGGCAGCCCCCUGGGUCAAGAUUGACGCUCAUGCACGAAAGCGUGGGGAGCAAACAGGAUUAGAUACCCGAGUAGUCCCAUGA